rnacentral:lncRNA from 1 species
UAUCGACUGAAAAGGAAAGGCGUCGGCACGCGGUGCGGGAGAUUCCGAGCUCAGGAGUUGGAGAAGGUAGGAACACGAUUAGACGGUCCGAGAGCCCGGUAUUUAACGCACCGGCCACCGCCCACCGCCAUCAGACGUUCAGUUAUCGUUCAAGAGGACGGACUGAUAUUCGCGCUCCUGCAGCUAACCAUAGCACAUCAGCAUGCCUACUGAAAGAGAGAUGGGCCAACAGGCUACCGAUAACCGGGCUGACCAGCUCAACAAGAACAACUCUAAGUACCAGGGAGGGACCAACAGACACACCGGCAAUGCCGAAUCCUUCGGGAAGGCGGCGGCCGACAACCGCUCAAAGCAGAUGAACUCCAAAGGCAACGACACCAACCAACAGGACAAGAAGUGAGCUCUGCCAGUCCUUCUUGACGCCGCGGCAGCACCAUGAGGCCAAGCGGUAGCCGCGGAACAUUCCCCAUUGCGCCCCCGCUGCGGCUGCGCUGCGCUCAUACCGUGCCCAUUGAAAAUGAUUUCAGCAGGGGUGUCGAUUUUUCAAAAUGGUUGGGGGUGCUCAACCCCUGCACCGGGUGAAAGAUUGCAGCUUUGCCAUGGGGCACAACCGUGCAAGGCAUGGUUGGGUAUCCCCAUAAGGUACUGAUAAUCACGGGAUUCCCCCCCCCCCCCAUCAGGUUCAGGGGCCCAUCGGGUUAUUCGGGCCUGAGGGGCCCUGCGGCGCCAAUCGGCCGCUGAGGGUCCACGUUGGCUAUAUUUAGACUCAGAAGGGCCCCACAGGGCUCGUAAGAACACCUCAUGGGCCCACAAGUACCAACAUUAAGAUCUCCAUAAGGGCCCCAAGCCAGCCUCUGAGGGCCACUUGCCGGCCUCUGGGGGUCUUAACCGGCCUAUAGGGGGCCAGCUCUAGGAGCUGCACACCCGCCUGUAAUGGCCCCACACCCAUUUCUCUGAGGGCCCAUAUAACGGCGACUGUAAGGGCCCUCACCGGCGCCCCUGAGCGCCACACCGGCGUCCCUGAGGGCCCCACACCCCUAACUCUGAGGCCCUACACCAAUGCCUUUAAAACCCUACAUGGGCGGUUCUGAGGGCCAUUGUCAGUUACCAGCGACCCUGACGGCUGACACAGGUGACUCGGAGGGUCCCAGCGGCGUCUGAGCGCACCAUGCCAGUCUCUGAGAACCCCACAAGGCGCCUGAAGGCACCGGUGACCUCUUGAUAUCUUUUUGUCGGCCUAUGAAGGGUCCGUUCCGUAACAGCAGUUCUGAGGGCCCCACGCGCGCCUGUGAUGGCCCUAAACCAGUGUCUCUGAGAGCCCCCACAACGGCGCCUGUGAGGGCCGUCACCGGCGACUGCGAAGCCCCCACACCGGCGCCUCCAGUCCGAGGGCCCCACAUUGCCAUAUCUGAGGGCCCCACACUAGUGCCUCUUAAGGCCCUAUAUCGGCGGCUCUGAGAGCCCAGCAUCGUAGCUUCUGAAGGCCCCACUAGUGCGCAUGUGACGGCCACCCUGCCACCGGUGACAUUUGAAGGCCCCACACCGGCGACUCUGAGGGCCCCAUCGGCGUCUGAGUCCGUUCCGGUCUAUAAAGACGACCCCACAGGAUUUCUGAAGGUACCACCGGCCUCUGAUGGCCCUUUGCCGGCCCCUGAGGGCCAGUCGCCGGUCUCUGGAGCCCCCUGCCGGCUUGUAAAGGGUACGCACCAGCAGCUCUAAGAGUCCGACACCCGUGUACGACGGACCCACACAAGUGUCUUUGCAAUUUAACGUCUUUUUUCGCCCUUCUUCUUAAAACUAACUUUUCUUUUCUUUACAUCUUUAUUUCAUGCCUUGUAAAUUGCGUAAUUGUUUUAUUUUUUGUAGUGAAAGACUGCAGAACAAUUAUUUUCCUCAAGCAGAGUUAGUGGCAGUUAUUGAGGGACAAAAUCAUUGGGGGUGCCCGGAAAACCAUUGGGGGUGCUCAUUUGAGCAUUGGGGGUGCUGCAGCACCCCCAAAGGUAUACAAAUCGACACCCAUGGAUUUCAGUGAUCUUUCUGUGACAUGUGCUCGCGCACGACGCCAUACGCUGUGAUUCGUCUUCGUCAUAAUUAGUGAACAAUGCACUGAAACAGUAAAU